rnacentral:rRNA from 1 species
ACCUGGUUGAUCCUGCCAGUAGUGUACGCUUUUCCUAAAGCUUAAGCCAUGCAUGUCUAAGCCUAAGAGGUAGCAAUACUCUCUGAAUCUGCGAACGGCUCCGCACACCAGUUGUAAACCACAGCGCGCUUCCCCGGUCGGUGGCCCCUUUAUUGGGGCCAAUGCCGGCCGGGGUACACGGAUAGCCGUGGUAAUUCUGCAGCUAAUACGUCAUAAUCACCACCGGAGCUACCAGGGGGUGGGCCCACGCGGCCCGCUUCACGCUCCGGGGGGCGGUACUGCUUUGGCUUGGUUUUACCAUGGAAGGACAGCACACGUCAGACUGCCACCCAACCCCGAAGCGCGAACGGAGGCUCGUCCUCCCGCCGCGCACCGGGGGGCAGCGCUCGGCUGGUGCUUCUGACCUAUCAACUAUACAGCAGCCUAAGGGACAUGCUAUGGUUUCUACGGGUACAGAGGAUUAGGGUUCGAUCCUGGAGAGUGGGCCUGAGAGAUCGCUCACACUUCUAAGGAAGGCAGCAGGCGCGCAACGUUCCCAUUGGGCAUCGCCCGAGGGCGUUAGGGGACAUAUGAAUAGCCGCCUUCGGGUGGCUAAUUCAAAUGGGUCUGUCGUAAACAGGCUCUCGAGUAACAAUUAGAGGACAAGUCUGGUGCCAGCACCCGCGGUAAUUCCAGCUCUAAUAGCGUACUUUAAAGUUGUUGCGGUUAAAACGCUCGUAGUCGUGAUCAAGCAACCAGAACCCAGCGACUGGACCGGUAAGCUGUGCUUCAUUGCGCGCUCUCCGGCUCGGACAAUGGGCGGCGGUAGCUAAGCGUGCCCAUCUCCGUACCGCAGCUAGCCUGCGGAUCACAAGGAACCUACCCCGGCCUCGGCCAGGCAUGGACCCUGGAGGUGGGGCCUAUUGCUAUGAUUAAACUGUAGUGCUCAAAGCAGGUCACACGGCCCUUUGCACAGCGCAGCAUAGCAUAAAGAUAUGCUGCCCUCGCUCCCAAGCGGACGAGUCGCGGCUAAUCUCGGAAAGGGUUGUUCGAGGGUGACCGAAUUGCUGGGCGAGUGGUGAAAUACGUUGACCCCAGCAAGUCGACCGAAGGCGAAAGCAGUCAUCAAGGGCAAGCCCGUUGAUCAAGAGCGAAAGUCAAGGGUUCGAAGACGAUCAGAUACCGUCGUAGUCUUGACUAUAAAUGUUACCAGCCGAUGAUAGGGCAAUGUCCAUCUCGACUCCCCCCGGAACCUAAAGAAAUUUAAGCCUAUGGGUUCUGGGGGGAGUAUGGUCGCAAGACUGAAACUUAAAGGAAUUGACGGAAGGGCACACAAAAGGUGGAACCUGCGGCUUAAUUUGACUCAACACGGGAAAACUCACUGGGACAAGAUACGCAGAUGAAGGUCAAGCUGAGAGACUUUACUCAAUAGCGUAAAUGGUGGUGCAUGGCCGUUCUUAGUUCGUGGAGUGGUCUGUCUGGUCUAUUCCGUUAACGAGCGAGACCUCAAUGCCUUAGUUAGGGGGCGUGGGAUCAUGCCUAGGGUCAAACCAUGGCUUUCCCCGCCCGGAGCACCUCGGUGUCCUACCUAAGCUGAUUCUCGGGGAUAACCCGAGUGAAACGAGGCAAUAACAGGUCAGUGAUGCCCUUAGAUGUUCCAGGCCGCACGCGCGUUACAAUGGCACGCACAGCAAGCGUUCAAUUUGGAGCUCUCCUGGCCUUAGCGGGCCGGGUAAUCUCUAGGUCGUUCGCCUUGACUGGGCUAGCCCGUUGUAAUUAUCGGUCUUAAACGAGGAAUCUUUGGUAAGCACCGGUCAUUAACCGGUGCUGACUGCGUCCCUGCCCUUUGUACACACCGCCCGUCGCUGCUACCGAUUGGGUUUUGCGGUUACGCGUUCGGAGGCUGGGGAAAAUACUGCUUCGCGGCGGUGAGAUCCCUGGCCGAAGUUCUAUUUACCGCACGGCCUAGAGGAAGCAGAAGUCGUAACAAGGUAAUCGUAG